ACACGACUACAUUAGAUACCCGCGUAGUCCUAGCCGUAAACGAUACUCGCUAGGUGUCGGCCACGGUGCGACCGUUGUCGGUGCCGUAGGGAAGCCGUGAAGCGAGCCACCUGGGAAGUACGGCCGCAAGGCUGAAACUUAAAGGAAUUGGCGGGGAGCACCACAACGGGUGGAGCUUGCGGUUUAAUUGGAUUCAACGCCGGGAAAUCUUACCGGGACCGACAGCAACAUGAAGGCCAGGCUGAAGACUUUGCCGGAUUAGCUG
rnacentral:rRNA from 1 species